AUGACAACAUAGAUUUUUAUCUUUUUUUUUGAUAAAUUUACAAUAUUAAAUAAAAUAAAGUCAUAGGGGACUCGAACCCAAGACCUUUGGCUUUAAGCAUUAACCUCUUACCGCUUGGCCAACACACGCACACAGCAACAUAGAUUUAUUAUUGCAAAUAUUUAGGGCUGGUAAACCGGUGCCGGUUUUUCGGUUAAAAUCGUAACCGAACCGGAAAAACCGGUUAUCGGUUAACCGAAAAUCGGUUUUUUCCGGUCCGGUUCGGUUAUCGAUUAGUAUUUCAGCUGUAAACCGGUUAAUCGGUUUAACCGGUCGGUUAACCGAUUAAACCGAUUAACCGAUUUUUUUAUUAAAUUAAUUAAUUAAUAGUAUAUUAUAUUAAAAUUUAAAAAACCCCACAAAUAGUUAGGGUUUGAGACUUUGAAAUUGAGUCUGUCUCACUUCCGCCUCCCCUUGCUUGCUUCCCGUUCCCACCGGCGCCUCCCUUGCCUCCCACCGGCACCGGCGCCGCUACCUCCCCCCGGUGCUCAGCCAGUCAGCCUGCACUCCGCCGAGUCGCCGACGCUCUCCCAGUCCCAAGUCCGCCGCUGGCCCGCUGCAUUUGCCAUCACCGACCGCCGCCCGCCACCCCAGCUGUCGUCACCUCGUUCACCACACUCCGCCGGCGCCACUCCCUCCGCCUUGUUCUUCUUCUUCUCGGCUAUAACUCAUUCUGCCGGCGUCGCUCCCUCCGCCAGCGAGCAGCGUCGCCCCCUCUGCCGGCGUCGCUGCUGUGCAUUCAGAUGGAUGCUUCUUUGAGAUUUGAAUAUGUCAAAAGUCCUUCAAUUCAAUUCAGCAUGCUCAUGACCUGCACCAUUCAAGUAAAUAUUCAUGUAUGACAAGGUUGAUAUGCUACCAAGUAAUCUCAAUGAUAUGACAAUAUUGGUUUCACAAAUAGUUCAUACAACUCAUGUAAUCAUGCAAGUUCACUAGCAAAAGAUUGAAUGAAAACAUUAGUUUACAAGUAAGGUGCAGGUCGAACCAUUUUGAGUCGGCAUACCUACUCAUUCUUUCUUUUGAAAUCUAUUUAUUUGCUA